rnacentral:rRNA from 1 species
AGGAUUAACGCUGGCGGCGUGCCUAACACAUGCAAGUCGAACGAGGUAGCAAUACCUAGUGGCAGGCGGGUGAGUAACGCGUGGUCAACCUACCGUUGAGUGGGGGAUAACUAGCCGAAAGGUUAGCUAAUACCGCAUACGAGUCUCGGGGGCAUCCCUGGGCCUUAAAAGGAGCAAUCCGCUCGAUGACGGGACCGCGUCCCAUUAGCUAGAUGGUGGGGUAAUGGCCUACCAUGGCUCCGAUGGGUAGCUGGUUUGAGAGAGCGACCAGCCACACUGGGACUGAGAAACGGCCCAGACUCCUACGGGAGGCAGCAGUGAGGAAUUUUCCGCAAUGGGCGAAAGCCUGACGGAGCGACGCCGCGUGUGGGAAGAAGGCCUUCGGGUCGUAAACCACUGUCGAAGGGGACGAUAAUGACGGUACCCUUGGAGGAAGCCCCGGCUAACUACGUGCCAGCAGCCGC